CUGCAAGUCGGAUGUGCCGCAAGGUGCAUGGCAGACGGGUGAGUAACGCGUAGGGAACCUGCCCUUUUGUGGGGAAUAACGUUCCGAAAGGAAUGGUAAUACCGCAUGAGACCGAUGGCUGGGAUGCGAUCGGUGAAAGCCGGGGACCGGAAACGGCCUGGCGCGAGAGGAGGGUCCUGCGUCUGAUUAGCUAGUUGGCGGGGUAACGGCCCACCAAGGCAACGAUCAGUAGCCGGCCUGAGAGGGUGAUCGGCCACACUGGAACUGAGACACGGUCCAGACUCCUACGGGAGGCAGCAGUGGGGAAUUUUGCGCAAUGGACGGAAGUCUGACGCAGCAACGCCGCGUGGGUGAUGAAGGUCUUCGGAUUGUAAAACCCUGUCGUCGGGGACGAAGGCGCACGGUUUAACAGAUCGUGUGUU
rnacentral:rRNA from 1 species